CCUACGGGAGGCAGUAGUGAGGAAUAUUGGUCAAUGGGCGCGAGCCUGAUCCAGCCAAGUAGCGUGAAGGAUGACUGCUCUACGGGUUGUAAACUUCAUUUAUAAAGAAAUAAAGUGAGGCACGUGUGCCUUUUUGUAUGUACUUUAUGAAUAAGGAUCGGCUAACUCCGUGCCAGCAGCCGCGGUAAUACGGAGGAUCCGAGCGUUAUCCGGAUUUAUUGGGUUGAAAGGGAGCGUAGAUGGGAUGUUAAGUCAGUUGUGAAAGUUUGCGGCUCAACCGUAAAAUUGCAAUUGAUACUGCCAGUCUUGAGUACAGUUGAGGUAGGCGGAAUUCGUGGUGUAGCGGUGAAAUGCUUAGAUAUCACGAAGAACUCCGAUUGCGAAGGCAGCUUACUAAACUGCCACUGACAUUGAUGCUCGAAAGUGUGGGUAUCAAACAGGAUUAGAUACCCGUGUAGUC
rnacentral:rRNA from 1 species